AAUUGGAGGGCAAGUCUGGUGCCAGCAGCCGCGGUAAUUCCAGCUCCAAUAGCGUAUAUUAAAGUUGUUGCAGUUAAAAAGCUCGUAGUUGAAUUUCGGGGUCAGUAGAUUGGUCGUGCCACUGGUAUGUACUGGUCUUACUGGCUCCUCCUUCCUGAUGAACCGUAAUGCCAUUAAUUUGGUGUUGCGGGGAGACUGGACUGUUACUUUGAAAAAAUUAGAGUGUUUAAAGCAGGCUAACGCUUGAAUACAUUAGCAUGGAAUAAUGAAAUAGGACGUUCGAUCUUAUUUUGUUGGUUUCUAGGAUUGACGUAAUGAUUAAUAGGGAUAGUUGGGGGCAUUAGUAUUCAAUUGUCAGAGGUGAAAUUCUUGGAUUUAUUGAAGACUAACUACUGCGAAAGCAUUUGCCAAGGAUAUUUUCAUUAAUCAAGAACGAAAGUUAGGGGAUCGAAGACGAUCAGAUACCGUCGUAGUCUUAACCAUAAACUAUGCCGACUAGGGAUCGGAUGAUGUUAAUUUUUUAAUGACUCAUUCGGCGCCUUACGGGAAACCAAAGUGU
rnacentral:rRNA from 1 species